rnacentral:lncRNA from 1 species
UGCAACCUGCAUUUAUUGAAAGAAACAAGUAUGAUUUAUAUCAUUUAUUUCAGAAUCCUCCCAUUUAAUCCACCCACAGCAGCCAACCAACACAAUCCACCCACAGCAGCCAACCAACACCUAUACCUCAAGGUAUUUUAUGCUAUCUCAGUUCACUAUCUUCAUAUACAUUUCACCCCACGCAUCAUGUAUUAGAAGUUCAGAAAUAUAGGUUGAAGUAUAUUACAGAGGGGCAGCAAAUCACAUAUGCGUACAUAAUUUAUGGCCUUCAACAGAAAUAGUAUGAUUCAUACAUUGAGAUAUUACCACUGUACAUAGAACCAAAGCCAUGAGAACUCCCAUCAUGUAGUGACA